GACGAACGCUGGCGGCGUGCCUAAUACAUGCAAGUAGAACGCUGAAGGAGGAGCUUGCUUCUCUGGAUGAGUUGCGAACGGGUGAGUAACGCGUAGGUAACCUACCUGGUAGCGGGGGAUAACUAUUGGAAACGAUAGCUAAUACCGCAUAAGAGUAGAUGUCGCAUGACAUUUGCUUAAAAGGUGCAAUUGCAUCACUACCAGAUGGACCUGCGUUGUAUUAGCUAGUUGGUGAGGUAACGGCUCACCAAGGCAACGAUACAUAGCCGACCUGAGAGGGUGAUCGGCCACACUGGGACUGAGACACGGCCCAGACUCCUACGGGAGGCAGCAGUAGGGAAUCUUCGGCAAUGGACGGAAGUCUGACCGAGCAACGCCGCGGGAGUGAAGAAGGGUUUCGGAUCGUAAAGCUCUGUUGUAAGAGAAGAACGAGUGUGAGAGUGGAAAGUUCACACUGUGACGGUAUCUUACCAGAAAGGGACGGCUAACUACGUG
rnacentral:rRNA from 1 species